AUUAAGAGUAAGUGGUCCACAUAGAAGCCAUCCUUAGACAUUUUAAUGGAAAGGCUAAAAUAAGACACUGAAUAAGGUGGUUGGCCUUCCAUAUUACCAAAUAUACAAGAUGCAUAGGAAACUUGGUGUUUUUACAUACUGAAAGUAUAAACUAUGGGCACUAACAGUAUAUUUUAAUUUUCACUAAGACUUCUGUUCUGUUGUCCUUUUCAGUAUCUCUUAGGACACUCUUCUGUUCUGUUGUCCUUUUCAGUAUCUCUUAGGACAAGUAUCUCUUGUCCUAAGAGAUACUGCCUUCCAAGUUAGACUACAAGGGCCAUGCAAGGAAGGACUAUCCUUGCUUGGUUCACUGUAGUAGCUCCCUACCCAGCACAGGGUGGGGACUGGCUAGGAGUCUAAAUGAAGAAGCCCUCAGUGGAGGAACAGAACAUGACUCGUACCUUGGUUCAGUAAAAGCCAAAUCGCUCAAUUUUUGCAUAAAACAAUUUCAAAGGAAGGGACUGAAUCACUACUCACCCACACACUCAUUCCCUUCCAGAAUAUAACCAAAAGGACACUCGCAUCGAUAGGAGCCGUCUGUGUUAAUGCACUGCCCAUGUCUACAGACAUCAGGUUCUUUGCAUUCGUCCAUAUCUUAAGUGGAGAAAGAAAAAACAAUAAAAAACCAAGGUAUUUUUCUUAAACUAUUGUCAUGUCAGUUUUCAGUAAGUGAAUAUCUAAUAUCACAAUACAACUAAAAUCCACAUGAUAAGACGUCAAAUAGAAGAGAUUAUUUCUCCCAGGUAGAUAAGGAGAAAUAAGACCCAGAGGAAGGACAAAGAGGCAGGGAAGACCUAGCUGGGCACUCACCAACUGCUGAGUCAUCAGGGCCCACAAUGAUCCCACUUCCAAAGGGGCAGAUCUGGCGGAAAGCCUCUGUAGUGGAGAGAUAGACUCAUUAGUGGGCAGAUCAGAGACAAUGACAGCCUUCCCACGCCCCCAUCCACUGUGUGGCUGUGGCCACGUGCUGCACACAGUGAGAGAUGCCCAGAAAUAAGGAGACAUCACCAAGAUUCUCAACGACGUGCCUGCUCUUUGGAUGACUCUGAUUUACAACAUUAUUAAAAGAGAAAAUAACUACCAUGCUCCUCUGGUAAAAUAUGUUUAAAUGGCAUUCAAGUUACACUUAGAAUUUGAUGACUCUACUGACUGUAAGGCUUACACUGUUCAUGGUUCCAUGGUCAUAUGUACACGAGAUCAUGCGAUGAGAAACAGAGAUGUUAGACUUACCAUCUGGCUCAGUGGGGCACAACUCACAAGGAUCUCCCCAGCCUUCUCCCUUCAAAGCACAGCAGCACUCCUGCUUGGAAUGGUUUCUGGAUUUGGGUGAUGAACACUUCCCACCUUCAAACUUCGCAUAGCAGUAGCUCAUUCGCAAAUCUACAACAUAAAUCCACAGUACAUUCUAGUCGCUUUCCUACUGAAUCCUCAUUGUCUGAUAGUAGAUCAAUGCGUUCCCUCAUUAACUAGAACAAUAUUCCAAAAGCAAUUGGAAGCAUGAAAGAGCUGAGACUGCUGAAGUCACAGACAGCUGGCAAGAUAGGAGGAACAGACUCAGGUUGCUUUAUCUUUUUCCUUCAGUUUACCUGCUACUUCAAAGCAACCUGAUAGGAAUAGUAAACUCCAAACUUUCCAGCCUUAAUAGACUUCCACUAACAAUGCCAGGAUUGGAACAUCCCCAGAUAGAGUCAUUCAGGAAGAAACGCCCGUAUGAUGGCUUCUCUUGUGUGGGUUUUGUACAACUUUCAGCAAGCAGACUAAGACAGGAGAGCCUCCUGGUUCUAAGACAUACCGUCAUUCUGUGUCCUAUAUACUCUGGGACCAAAGACAACCCCACACCACUACAUAGGACAAAUGAAGGAGUGGUAAGUGUAUGGACUAGUCAACUGAGCCACCAGGGGCAUUCCCUGAAGUAGCUAUGCAUGGAAUUGUGGGGACAAACUUCAAGUGGGAUUUUCUGCAGACUUUAUACUCAUGCACACACAGCUACAGCAAAUUAAGUUUCCAACGAGUCUGUUCAGUGCAAUAGAAAGAGGAAGCAAAAAGAAGACGGAAGGCAGGGCUAUGGUGGGUGUAAGCAAAAUAACCCUUCUUUCAAAGAAUAUAUGUAUUUCUUUAUAUUCAUUAUUGCUCUGGAAACUCCAAGGAAAAGGUGAUAUCUCUCUUAUAAAAUGCUCCAGUGUUGCUUGACAUAAUUUUGGAAGCCAACUGUUCCCAUCCUUAUGGAGCAGAGUGGGUGACUCUGAGAAGUGAGCUAAUGUAGGGUCUGGAAUGUGUUUUUUCAAACCUGACUUCCAGAGCCAGGCAUUACGUCUCCUUCAUUACCCUGUGGCUAAGCUCUGCAGAGCUGAGGACUUGAUUCCACUUCCGCUUUGUACCCUUCCUGCUUCCUGGGUUCUGACUACCUCUGACUUCUGCAUUCUCUACUCUCAGUUUUCCAGUCCAGAAAGCACACUCCCACAGCAGUGCUUGCCACCCAAAUAUUUACUCUGUGGAGAAAUGCCAAGACUUAAGUAAUUCUCAUUUCUUGGGUGACAUCUUUUUUUUUCAUUUGCUUUAUUCUUCAAGUUCUUUGUCCCAUCCAUUGUUUUGCAUAAACAGAGUUGUUUUUUACCACUUAUUCCUACAGCCAUCCUUAAACUGCUGACCUUACUCUCGAUCCAGUUCAAUGUUCAAUCUUCCCCACACUACUCUCUACACC
rnacentral:lncRNA from 1 species